CACGUAGGGCGCAAGCGUUGUCCGGAAUUAUUGGGCGUAAAGAGCUCGUAGGCGGUCUGUUGCGUCCGCUGUGAAAACUCGGGGCUUAACCCCGAGCUUGCAGUGGAUACGGGCAGACUAGAGGUAGGUAGGGGAGAAUGGAAUUCCCGGUGUAGCGGUGAAAUGCGCAGAUAUCGUGAGGAAGACCAGUGGCGAAGGCGGGUCUCUGGACAGUUCCUGACGCUGAGGCGCGAAGGCCAGGGGAGCAAACAG
rnacentral:rRNA from 1 species